rnacentral:rRNA from 1 species
AUCCUUCUGUAGGGGGAACCUGCGGAGGGAUGCAUUACCGGUCUCACCAAACCCCUGUGAACAUACCAAUUGUUGCCUCGGCGGAUCAGCCCGCUCCCGGUAAAACGGGACGGCCCGCCAGAGGACCCCUAAACUCUGUUUCUAUAUGUAACUUCUGAGUAAAACCAUAAAUAAAUCAAAACUUUCAACAACGGAUCUCUUGGUUCUGGCAUCGAUGAAGAACGCAGCAAAAUGCGAUAAGUAAUGUGAAUUGCAGAAUUCAGUGAAUCAUCGAAUCUUUGAACGCACAUUGCGCCCGCCAGUAUUCUGGCGGGCAUGCCUGUUCGAGCGUCAUUUCAACCCUCAAGCCCAGCUUGGUGUUGGGACUCGCGAGUCAAAUCGCGUUCCCCAAAUUGAUUGGCGGUCACGUCGAGCUUCCAUAGCGUAGUAGUAAAACCCUCGUUACUGGUAAUCGUCGCGGCCACGCCGUUAAACCCCAACUUCUGAAUGUUGACCUCGGAUCAGGUAGGAAURSGCCGCUGMMCYYAAGCAUAUCAAUAAGCGGAGGAA